rnacentral:rRNA from 1 species
GACGAACGCUGGCGGCGUGCUUAACACAUGCAAGUCGAACGCUGAAGCUUGGUGCUUGCACUGGGUGGAUGAGUGGCGAACGGGUGAGUAAUACGUGAGUAACCUGCCCUUGACUCUGGGAUAAGCCUGGGAAACUGGGUCUAAUACUGGAUACGACAUGUCACCGCAUGGUGGCGUGUGGAAAGGGUUUUACUGGUUUUGGAUGGGCUCACGGCCUAUCAGCUUGUUGGUGGGGUAAUGGCUCACCAAGGCGACGACGGGUAGCCGGCCUGAGAGGGUGACCGGCCACACUGGGACUGAGACACGGCCCAGACUCCUACGGGAGGCAGCAGUGGGGAAUAUUGCACAAUGGGCGAAAGCCUGAUGCAGCGACGCCGCGUGAGGGAUGACGGCCUUCGGGUUGUAAACCUCUUUCAGCACGGAAGAAGCGAAAGUGACGGUACGUGCAGAAGAAGCGCCGGCUAACUACGUGCCAGCCGCCGCGGUAA